AAUUCCUUCAGGACAGAUUCCUCUUUGUUCCUGUAGCCAUUGAAACGAUAGGAGUGUGGGGCAAAGAGGGCCUGUCCCUUAUCAAGGAAAUCGGAUCAAGGAUCACGAUCGUUACGGAGGAGAAGAGGGCAACAUCAUUUCUCCUCCAGAGGAUGAGUAUUGCAGUGCAGCGUGGAAAUGUGGCUGCUAUUUUGGGAUCUCUUCCAGCCGGACGAGAGUUGCAUGAGAUUUUUUACCUUUAGGACAACUACAAUUAAGAGUUUUUUUAAUAUUCAGAUAGGGACACUUAUGUACGGCGCUGGUCGUUUAGCUUUUUCGAAAUACAUAUAUGUAAAAUGAUUUCAUGGAUAUGUGCAAAAAUGCAAUAAAGUAUGUAGAAAAC